GUAUGUGAAGGUCAUUUGGUUGCACUUCUGUCACUCCUUUGAUCACCAGUGUUUAUCUGGCUGGCUAAGCAGGUGUCCUCUUUCUCCAUCAUGGCUCCAUGUGUAUCACAUCCUGAAGUUCCAUGCUCAAUGAAAAAGAAGAAUCAACACAGGUAGGAGUGUUUUGUUCUUCAUUGGUAGUCUUUUG
rnacentral:snRNA from 1 species